GCGCCCGUAGCUCAGCUGGAUAGAGUGUUUGACUACGAAUCAAAAGGUCAGGGGUUCGAAUCCCUUCGGGCGCACCA
rnacentral:tRNA from 1 species